GUUGGCGGGUCCUGGGGCGGAGUCAGGAUAGGGCGAUCCUGGAAGCUGGGCUUCAGAAGCGUCCAGAUAGGGUCUCUCUCUCUGCCACCCAGGCCAGAGUGCAGUUGACGCAGGGCAGGGGAGCCCCGAAGUGGAGCAUAGUGUGUCCGGAACUGGUGGGUUCUUGGUCUCACUGACUUCAAGAAUGAAGCCGUGGACCCUCACGAGACAGGGUUUCACCAUGUUGGCCAGGCUUGUCUUGAACUCCUGACGUCGUGAUCUGCCUGCUUUGGCCUCCCAAAGUCCUGGGAUUACAGGCAUGAGCCACCGUACCCAGCCACUCUUGAUUAACUUAAUGGAAAUAUUUACAGAGAUUCUUUCUCUUCUGGGUUCUAGCGUCUUAUCUGUAACCUCUGCAGGUGCAGGAAUGAGAGGCAGCAGCCGGGGAAGCCAGGGUCUCCGGAAGUCCUUGUCUCUGGGCGGUGAUCCAGAGAGAGAGAGAGAACACGAUUGUCUCAGCAAUGGGUCUUCUUCUGAGUCUUGAAGGAGCACUUCCAGAGCCUCUCAGUGUUAAACAUCGUGUUGUGAAUGACUCCGUGAGCUCUGACCCAGUGACCUUGGGGAUAAAGGAGGGGAGGUACGGAUAAGCUCUUCGAAUGGAUGUUGCCGGGGUGUCAGUGUUCUUUGAGGGCACAGACUAUGUGUCACUAAAGAAAGAGCCCAGUGCCUUUUCUCAUUGCUCAAGAGAUUGAAGGGGUAGUAAGAAAAGAUGUUAAGUUAUAAACACGUUUCAGUUUUGGUACCAGUUGAACCAAUUUACGUUUUGAAGAGGAAAGAGUCUUGCCUACAAUGUCAGCCCCCGGGUUUUCCUUCUGCUUAUGGAAUCCAGGCAAUGGGCAAAGAGAAAAAGAAAACUAAGGAAUCAGCCAGGUGCAGUGGCUCAUGCUUGUGAUCUUGGCACUUUGGGAAGCUGAGGCAGGUGGACUUCUUGAGUGCAGCAGUUCAAGACCAGCCUGGCCAACAUAGUGAGACCCCGUUUCUACAAAAAAUACAAAAAGUUGCUGAGCAUGGUGACAUGCACCUGUAGUCCCAGUUACUUGGGAGGCUGAGGUGGGAGAACUACUUCAUCCCAGGAGGCUGAGGCUGCAGCGAGCCAUGAUCGUGCCACUAUACUCCUGCCUGGGUGGCAGAGUGAGGCCCUGUCUCAAAAGAAAACAAAAAAGAUAAAAAGAAAACUAGGGAAUCUAGACAGCAUAAGUUUAUAUAUAUAAUAAAGAACUGAGAUAGAA
rnacentral:lncRNA from 1 species